AAAAGUUAUAGUGGAACAGGUUUGGAAAGGCCGAUCACAGAGGUGAUAAUCCCGUACACGAAAUAAUUUUUAUACCUAGUAGUAUCCUGAGUACUGCGGGGUCGGAGACGCCCUGUAGGAAUUUGCCGGCACCAUCCGGUAAGGCUAAAUACUCCUAAGACACCGAUAGUGAACUAGUACUGUGAAGGAAAGGUGAAAAGAACCGCGAACAGCGGAGUGAAAUAGAACCUGAAACCAUGCGCUUACAAGCGGUCGGAGCCCUUACGUGGGGUGACGGCGUGCCUUUUGCAUAAUGAGCCUACGAGUUGCUCUUUACUGGCAAGGUUAAGGACUUAAGGUCCGUGAACCGAAGCGAAAGCGAGUCUGAAUAGGGCGCAUAGUCAGUAGAGGCAGACGCGAAACCUUGUGAUCUACCCUUGGCCAGGAUGAAGUUCCGUUAACCCGGAAUGGAGGUCCGAACCGAUAAGCGUUGAAAAGCUUCCGGAUGAGCUGAGGGUAGGGGUGAAAGGCUAAUCAAACUGGGAAAUA
rnacentral:rRNA from 1 species